ensembl:lncRNA
GACAUAAGUACAUGCUAGGAAAAGUAAAGCAUGGCAUAGUGGGAACAAACAAGAAGAUUACAUGCAAAUGAGGCUGUCAAAACAUGAAGGCAAACUAAAAAUGUGGACUGCAUGAUUAUGAUGCUGUCAGUGUUGUGGACUUGUGUUUCCUUGUUUUACCCCUGGCUUAGUUCCUGUUAUCCUUUUUUGGUCAUGUUUCCUCUUUCAGUCCUCAUUGUGUUAAUUUGUAUCCAGCUGUGUUUGAUUAAUUAGCUUGUUUGCCCCUUGCAUUUAAACCCUGUAUUUCCCUGAGUCUCUGUCAGCUGUUAUAUGUCUUCUGAGUUCCAGUGGUUUUUUCCCUUUGCAUGUUUGAUUAAAAUUUCAAUCAAAGUGUUCUUCUGCUUCUCCUUGUUCCUCCCAGAUUGGUCAUUACAGAACAGCCAACCUGCAAACAAGCUUGCACCAGUGUCCAGUCCCAGAGCUGGCUCCAGCCCCCGAAUCCAGCCCAAGGAAGCUCCAGUCCCCAACCGUACCCCAGAGAGGGCUCCAGUCCCCGAGUUUAGCCCAGAGAGGGCUCCAGUCCCCGAGUGAACUCUGCCCAAGGAUUUUGUUUGUUGGGUGGGGGUAGUAUGGGUGCAUCCAAGGCCAUCCGGCCAUGGUGCCUUGAGUUCCCCGCUGUAGUGGCUGAGUCGUGAGGCCAAGGCCACAGAGGCUGUCCAGCCAUGGCCUUCUGUGUUCCCCGAUAUGCCGUGGCUCCCCGAGUUCCCUGAUACACCGUGGUUCCCUGAUAUGCCAUGACAUUUUGAACUGCCUGAUCCACCAUGGCUCCCUGCUCUGCCAUGGCACCCUGGACUGCCUGAUCCACCCUGGAGGUAUUACCCAUGUCCCAUUCCUGCACUACCCCGGUGGAAUUGUUGUCUGACCCACCUUCCAGGAGGGGGGAGUAAUGUCAGUGUGGACUUGUGUUUCCUUGUUUGAGUUCUGUUAGCAUAUGUCUUCCUAGAGUUCCACUGUUUGUAUCCCUUUGCUUGUUGGAUUAAGAUUUUAAAUCGACGUGUUCUCCUGCAUCUCCUUGUUCCUCCCAGAGUGAUCGUGACCGAUGCAUUCUCUUGACCAAAUCAGACAGCAAUUUAUGUAUACAGUGAGGAAAAGGCGUCUGAUUUGGUUCCACUUUAUAUUAUGUGGCCUUAACUACUUGCUUCAGAGUACAAUCCUUACUGUGUUCAUAUUGUGUUGCAAAACACUCUUGUUGCUAUGAGGUGGGAUACAGGUAAGCUUAGGGACAGGUUUGGUGUAGGGCUGUGCAUAUCCAUGACUGAUACGAUACCCAUCUUGAUGCAUAGCCUACGCGACGCACCAAGCGAAUUGGUUAAUCUUCCCGUCCCAAUUUUGGUGGUAUGGGUGGGUUAAGGUGUAAGGGAUGGGUCAACAGUGUAAUUAUAAAUGUAAGUGGACUUGUAUUUUAAAAAAUACCUUGUAUUUACAAAGUACCAAAUUAUUAAUUCAAAUGUAAAUGCAUAGUAGUUAAAGUGGAACACAAUUUUCACUUAUUACAAUUCUCAGAAAUUGCUAGUAAAGUUCAAAGAAAUGGCAAGUAAUGUGUUGAAUUAAACAUGACUUUUUUUUUUUUUUUUUUUUUGUAAUCUUUAUUUACAACUUUGAAUUUUUACAGUGUACUUUGGAGAAAGCAAUCCUAAAAUGUAUUUUGUGGAAAAGUCUAUGUAAAUAUGAGAAGCUCAGCAUAAUAAUUCAAGAUGGUGGACAAAGCAAGAGGAAUUUUUUUUAUAUAUAUAUAUAUAUAUAUAUUUUAUUAAGAUUCAAUUAAACAGUUGUUACUUUAUUCCAGUUUUUGAUUUUAAGAUAUUUCAAUUUUUUUAAAGUAUAUUAUGCUGUAUAAUAAUAAUGGCAUUAUUUUCAUGAAUAGUUAUUUGAUGAACAGUAAAUUCAGAAGAACAGCAUUUAUUUGAAAUAUAAAUCUUUGGUAACAAAGUAUCUUUAAUGUCACUUGUGAUCAAUGUAAUGCAAUGUAUUUUUCUGCUUAGUCAAGUAUUAUUUACUUUUUACAUGCAAUAAUAAUUGAUUGUGAGUAAAGCCUCAC